GCCCUUGUGAUGGAAAGGUAGACAUGUCGUGUUGAGGUCGCGGUGCUGAAAAGCUUGUCGGUUCGAAUCCGAUCGAGGGCA
rnacentral:tRNA from 1 species